AUACGUAGGGAGCGAGCGUUGUCCGGAAUUACUGGGUGUAAAGGGAGCGUAGGCGGGACUGCAAGUCAGAUGUGAAAUACCGGGGCUUAACCCCGGAGCUGCAUUUGAAACUGUGGUUCUUGAGUGAAGUAGAGGCAAGCGGAAUUCCUGGUGUAGCGGUGAAAUGCGUAGAUAUCAGGAGGAACACCGGUGGCGAAGGCGGCUUGCUGGGCUUUUACUGACGCUGAGGCUCGAAAGCGUGGGUAGCAAACAGGAUUAGGUACCCUGGUAGUCCACGCUGUAAACGAUGAUUACUAGGUGUGGGGGGACUGACCCCUUCCGUGCCGCAGUUAACACAAUAAGUAAUCCACCUGGGGAGUACGGCCGCAAGGUUGAAACUCAAAGGAAUUGACGGGG
rnacentral:rRNA from 1 species